rnacentral:rRNA from 1 species
GUGCCAGCCGCCGCGGUAAUACGUAGGGGCCGAGCGUUGUCCGGAGUUACUGGGCGUAAAGCGCGCGCAGGCGGCCACUUAAGCCCGGCGUGAAAGCCCCCGGCUCAACCGGGGAGGGUCGUCGGGGACUGGGUGGCUUGAGGACGGCAGGGGCUGGUGGAAUCCCCGGUGUAGUGGUGAAAUGCGUAGAGAUCGGGGGGAACACCCGUGGCGAAGGCGGCCAGCUGGGCCGGUCCUGACGCUGAGGCGCGAAGGCGUGGGGAGCGAACGGGAUUAGAUACCCGCGUAGUCC